rnacentral:lncRNA from 1 species
GAUAAUAGUCAAAGGGUAGAAAAAUUAAAGGUGCUAAUGCUGCCUUUUUACAAAUUAUGCUUCUAUUUACUUUGUAAGGCCAUAAAUAAGAAAAAACAAGGUAGAUCAAAAAAAUAAAGGAUAUAGGCAUAUGUAGGGAGGAGUUAAGAGUGCAAAUUAGUGAAAAUUACCUCAAGAAGACGAAAGUUGAUACCCGAAGAGGACCGGUUAUGAACCUAGGUCGAAAUCAGAUCCUGAGGCACAAAACUGCGCUCUGAUGGCGAUUCAAGGGUUCUUUGGAAGAUCGAAGAGCCGAAUUAGAGAGAAGACUUGUGAGAGGAUUUUUGAGAGGUGAUUUCGUGUCAUUUGGAUUAGUAUUGGAUUUUUUUAGGGAUUUUCAAAGCGAGUGAUGUUCUCUGUGAAUUCAGAUCUUUGAGAAAUAAAACCGGUUUACAAAUUUUUGAAUUUCGUUUCUUUUGUAGCACUUUUACGGGUGAAAAUUUAGAGACUUAUUGGUAUGCUUGUUUUGAAUGUGUAUAA